rnacentral:rRNA from 1 species
UACGUAGGGUGCAAGCGUUGUCCGGAAUUAUUGGGCGUAAAGAGCUCGUAGGCGGUCUGUCGCGUCUGCUGUGAAAACUCAGGGCUUAACCCUGAGCUUGCAGUGGGUACGGGCAGACUAGAGUGCGGUAGGGGAGACUGGAAUUCCUGGUGUAGCGGUGAAAUGCGCAGAUAUCAGGAGGAACACCCGGUGGGCGAAAGGCGGGGUCUCUGGGCCGUAACUGAC